CCUACGGGUGUCAGCAGUGAGGAAUAUUGGUCAAUGGGCGAGAGCCUGAACCAGCCAAGUCGCGUGAAGGAUGAAGGACCUAUGGUUUGUAAACUUCUUUUAUAUGGGAAUAAAGUGAGGAACGUGUUCCUUUUUGUAUGUACCUUAUGAAUAAGCAUCGGCGAACUCCGUGCCAGCAGCCGCGGUAAUACGGAGAAUCCGAGCGUUAUCCGGAUUUAUUGAGUUUAAAGGGUGCGUAGGUGGUUAAUUAAGUCAGUUGUGAAAGUUUGUGGCUCAACCAUAAAAUUGCAGUUGAAACUGGUUGACUUGAGUAUAUUUGAGGUAGGCGGAAUGCGUGGUGUAGCGGUGAAAUGCAUAGAUAUCACGAAGAACUCCGAUUGCGAAGGCAGCUUACUAAACUAUCACUGACACUGAAGCACGAAAGCGUGGGGAUCAAACAGGAUUAGAUACCCGAGUAGUC
rnacentral:rRNA from 1 species